GCAGGCUACUACCUGUACAGUGCCUAUGGUUAUACAUUAUCACCCAUGGAGAAAGCCAUUGUGAAGACAGGCAUUCAGGUAAAGCACUGAAAAAGCACUUCAUAGAUGUAGGCGCUGGUGUUGUAGACGAAGAUUAUAGAGGAAACGUUGGUGUCGUGCUGUUUAAUUUUGGAAAACAGAAGUUUGAGGUGAAAAAAGGUGAUCAGACUGCGCAGCUCAUCUGUGAGCAGAGUUUUGAUCCAGACUUAGAGGAAGUGCAAACACUGGAUGAGAGAGGCCCAGGAGGCUUCGACUCUACGGGAAAGAAUUAG
rnacentral:lncRNA from 1 species